rnacentral:lncRNA from 1 species
GAAAUUCUCAUAGGUCGGGGCGGGUGCUAAAAAAGGAAAAUGAAAAGGGAGAUGAUUAAUUUGUACAAGCGAUCCAUAUGUAUAUAUUUAGUAGACUUCCACAUUCCACUGCUCAGCUUUCUUCAAUUGCUUUUUGUACUCGGCCCAGUCGAUACCUGCAAAAACACAUGAUUAAAUUUACCGGCUAGGCUAGCUUUUGAGGAAAUCAAUGGGGUCAUUUUGUCUUUUUAGUUUGUUACCAUCAGCUGCAGCGAGUGAGACCAUUAUGUCAUCAAUUCCCUUCUCCAUUCCCCUCAACCCACACAUGUAGACGAAGGUGUUGUCUUUCUUCAGCAACUCCCAUAGCUCUUUCGCGUAUUCAGCCAUUCGUGUCUGAAUGUACAUCUUUUCUCCUUUCUCGUUUGUUUGUUCCCUGCUCACUGCAAAGUCCAGCCUGAAGUUUUCUGGGUUCUUCUC